AGUUUGUGGAGGAGAUAAUCAAAAUAAUGCCAAAGAAUAAAUAGAUGAUAAAAGAGAAAAGAAAAAUAAAAAGAAAUGAUUUCUGAUUGGUUGGUUGAGUUUUAGCUUUGACCAAUCUUCCUUUGUUGACCGAGUCCACCUUAUUUUACUUGUGAUCCCUAUCCUCUUUAGCCCUGAUACAUAGUACAGCGAUAGUGACAAUCCAUGGGUAUCCCAGAUUUUCAGCUCCUUCAUAAAUUGUAUUUAACACUUCCCAAUUUCCCACAUCAAUCCAACCUAAAACUCUCCUUCUUUAUAGUUUUUCCCCAAUUUCUUAGGUUAUUUUUCAUUUAUAAACAAGUUAAAUGCCAGAGUACCCGUUUAGAAUUUUUAUCAAAACAAAACCCUAAAUCGCUCUCUCUCAUUUCACAGCCGACGCCCCACAGAUUCCGCCGUCCAGUUUCUAUCCACCGCCAGUUGCAUCAACGACGGAGUUUUGUUCAACAGUUUGGAGCUCUACUCUACAAUGAUAUGGAGUUGCACUCUACAAUGAAAGGCAUACAAACACUAAUAUGUACAAGUGGACUAUACUACUUUCAUAAAAUGGGUGAUUCUGUUGCAAUCCGGAACCACUAUCAGUUUAAAAGUUGUAUCUCCGUCUUCGGACUCUAAAGGCGAAAAUCUCACUAAGAUAACAUUCACUUCGACUGAUAAGACCAACACAACUAAAACAAUGUUUAUCCUUCAUUUCAUUUUGGGGGUUGUCUAUUUCAUUGAGAGGUGUUUUGGGGAGGGAUUCCUUGCCACCAUCUUGGUGGAUGGAAUCUCAAACACAAUUAAUGACAUCAGCCUCUUUGGCUUCCUUAAAAAUGUCUCAUCCUUCCCAAACAAAACCAAUGUGUUGAAGUUCAUUCCUGUUUUCAAUCUUGCUACGAAGGCCUUGAUGCUGUUUGUUCUUCUAAAGGUGCUUAACACGCCGUCAUCUGUAGCCGUUGAUAGGAAAGAGGUGGUUGUGGUCGAGAUGAAGGCUGGUGGAGAUGAGAAACCCGCUGAUGAGAGGCCCACUGAUGAGAAGCCCGCUGAUAAGAAGUGAUUUUAGUAUUCAUUGUGAAGGUAUACUUUGAACAUUGCGACGUUUAGAGUUUUUGGUUGAUUUCUUACUCAGAAUACAUUUCUAACGUUUAGAGUUUUUGGUUGGUUUCCUACUUAGAAUAUAUUUUUAGUGUAAAACAUGUGUUUGCAAUCUGUGGUGAGUUUCUCAGCGCCUUGCCCAGGCGCGUAUUCUGCUAAAAUCCCGUCUAAUGUAUACUUCGAUCUAAAAUGACAAUAACGCUAAGAGAAAUACACAGGUGCACUUAAUUGUUGAUCAAA